UUUGUUUUUGGAUGUUGAUUUCUUGUUCGGGUGGUUGCCGAUAUGGUGCUUGCAUUUGCGAUUGAUGACAUUUAUGUUCUUACUGAUUGGAUUUGUGGGUAUUUAUUUGUUUGCAUACUGAUAAGAGUAUUUUUGUUGGAUAAAAUUUUUAGGUUGCGAUUAUAUGUAGGAUUGUUAUGGUUUGACAACUCAUCGGAAAAAGAUAAGAUUUGAAUGGGGAAUGAGGACAAAACCCUUUAAGUUUACACGUUGCUUGGUAACAUGAUUCCAUUUCUGGUUCCUUCACUGCUUCCAAAAUCGAGUCACUUACAUUGCACUGCUGCUUCUUUUAAAAUGCUGUAAGUGGACUGUAUGGGUAGUACUUUCCCCAGAGCGCCUAAAGUCGUACAAUGAUCACUUUCGAAGCUCUGGUUUGCAUUAAACCGUCGGGCAUGAUUAUUUAUCCUUGCUAGAGAUGACUCAUAACCAUCUCUGAAAUCCAGAAGUGUCUAUAAAGACUUGGUGGGCUCCAACGUUCCUCCUCUGUAUCAAAUCUUUAAAGACUUCAUGCUUAAAAUGACCUCAUAGUGAAUAAAAAAGGCAAAGACUUGAAGGGUUUAUUGUAUGGUACGCUUUAGUUGGGUCAAGCUUUUAUUGGUUUGGAUUGAGUAUAGUAUGCCCAAAUAAACUAAUGGUGGUUUGUCUUUCCUUUUGGGUCAAAGUUUUGUUUAUUUGACGUGAGUAUGGUACGCCCAAGUAAAACACUAAUGGUUGUUCUAUCUUUACCUUUAUGCAAUCUUCAAGUGAAUAUUUUACUUCCUGUUGGAGGUUGUGAUUGUGAUCUUUGAUGGUUGUAGUGCCUGUUUGGUUGAGUUUGAAAGCAUGAAAAGUAUGUACUUUCAAUAGCUUCAAAGCUCUUUUGAAGAAAAAAUAGCAUGCUUGGUAAAUUUAUAAAAAAUUCUUUAAGCAUCCUAAAGAAUCUGAAAAUCCACUUAAAAUUCUAAAUUGAGACUUUUGUCGAAAAGCACCUCCAAGAAGACACUGAAAAUAACUUUUAACGACUUUAAAUGCGCACAAUUUCUUCGACUAACUUGUUAUUAUUAUUUUUUAAUCUAGGACUAUGUUUGGCCUGUCACCCAUAAUUCUUGAUCUGUUUGUUUUUGGGCCUAAUUCUUCAACCUUUACUUUUACAUGAUUUUCAUUCCUCUGUUAUUUAUAUCCUUGUGAAUUGAUUCUCAUUUGCAGUGGUAGUUUGACUGUGAUGUUUUUUCUUUAAAUUGAUUGUUCAUCAUUGUCCAAGCAUUGCCAACAUUCAUUUUUUCCAAAUAUGAUUUGAUGCAGUGACCUAUUGAUAGCUUUAUGUUUACAUUCAUGUUUAGUGACCUGGAGUCACCAGGUUCGUUUUCACAAAUAUGAAUGUGAUGAACUUCCUAGAAUUGCUUAGCUGUAGUUUCAGAGCUCACAAUGUAAUUCGUACUUGCUGGCCUGUGUCGGAGCUCAUCAAGAGUUAGGAAUGCGAUAUUCUAAGUCCAGGCUAUGUCAAAAGCAUCAUGAAAUUCCUUCUGGCCUAAGGUUACCCCUCCUUUUCAUCAAGUUUCUUAUUCGGAUAGCCCUCCAAAGGAUUAGACAUUGCACGACAGAAUAUAGAGCAAAUAGAGUUCUAAUAGUUUGAAAAUUAUAUGUCUGACUCUCGACUAGUCAAUUUGGAAAAUAAUUGUUAUUGCCUUGUAAUGAUUUGCUUUCUAUGUUUAAAACAGGAAAAAAUCUAUUCCCCGUCUAUUUUCUCAUCA